rnacentral:rRNA from 1 species
GACGAACGCUGGCGGCGUGCCUAACACAUGCAAGUCAACUUGACUGAAGGAGCAAUCUGACAGUAGAGUGGCGCAAGGGUGCGUAACGCGUAAGUAACUUGCCCCAAGGUAAGGAAUAACGUCGAGAAAUCGGCGCUAAUACCUCAUAAUGCAGCGGAUCCGCAUGGAUAUGUUGUUAAAGGUUUACCGCCUUGGGAUAGGCUUGCGUCUGAUUAGUUAGUUGGUGUGGUAACGGCACACCAAGGCUACGAUCAGUAACUGGUCUGAGAGGAUGAUCAGUCACACUGGAACUGAGACACGGUCCAGACUCCUACGGGAGGCAGCAGUGAGGAAUAUUGGGCAAUGCUCGAAAGAGUGACCCAGCAACGCCGCGUGGAGGAUGAAGGUAUUCUAUAUCGUAAACUCCUGUGAGAGCAGACGAAGACAGAUUAUUAAUCUGGAUGACUGUAUGCUCAGAGGAAGCCCCGGCUAACUACGU